rnacentral:rRNA from 1 species
UACGGAGGAUGCAAGCGUUAUCCGAAAUGAUUGGGCAUAAAGCGUCCGCAGGUGGCGAUGUAAGUCUGCUGUUAAAGAGUCUAGCUCAACUAGAUAAGAGCAGUGGAAACUACAUAGCUAGAGUACGUUCGGGGCAGAGGGAAUUCCUGGUGUAGCGGUGAAAUGCGUAGAGAUCAGGAAGAACACCGGUGGCGAAGGCGCUCUGCUAGGCCGCAACUGACACUGAGGGACGAAAGCUAGGGGAGCGAACGGG